GCCUGCAUGAAGUCGGAAUUGCUAGUAAUCGCGGAUCAGCAUGCCGCGGUGAAUACGUUCUCGGGCCUUGUACACACCGCCCAUCACACCAUGGGAGUCGGUAACACCCGAAGUCUGUAGCCUGACGCAAGAGGGCGCAGCCGAAGGUGGGAUUGAUGACUGGGGUGAAGUCGUAACAAGGUAGC
rnacentral:rRNA from 1 species